AUCAUCUCUCAGCCUUUGGGCUAAGAUCAAGUAUAGUAUCUGUUCUUAUAAGGUCACUGGUCAUAUUGGAUCAGGACCCCACCCAUAUGACCUCUUUUUAACUUAAUGACCUCGUUAAAGACCUGGUCUCCAAAUAAGGUCACAUUUUGAGCUACUGGGGGCUGGAAUUCAACAUAUUAAUU
ensembl:snRNA U2 U2 spliceosomal RNA